GUGCCAGCAGCCGCGGUAAUACGUAGGGUGCGAGCGUUAAUCGGAAUUACUGGGCGUAAAGCGCACGUAGGUGGUUUGGUAAGUCGGAUGUGAAAGCCCCGGGCUCAACCUGGGAAUUGCAUUCGAUACUGCAUGGCUAGAGUAUGGCAGAGGGGGGUAGAAUUCCCGGUGUAGCGGUGAAAUGCGUAGAUAUCGGGAGGAAUACCAGUGGCGAAGGCGGCCCCCUGGGCCAAUACUGACACUGAGGUGCGAAAGCGUGGGUUGCAAACAGGAUUAGAUACCCUGGUAGUCCACGCCCUAA
rnacentral:rRNA from 1 species